GAUAAAGAAAUGGAGCCCUCGAGAAGUUAAGCAGUUUGCCCAAGAUCAUACAGCUGCAAUUUGUAUUGCAACAAAAUUUGUGACCUGCCUAAAUUUUCACCAUCAUUCAUAUUUCUGUCACACUCUGGAUCCUCCAUCUACCAAAAAUGAAUAUAGUGACAUGGCCACGCACCUGAGGAAUCCUUUUACUUCCCACAGGAGGAAGAGAAUUCCUCAAAUCCCACAAAGGCAACUCUUCUUCCUGAAGACAGCAGCUUUGCCAGUAAUGAGGGCAACAUUCCCAAUACAGGGUCUCAUUCUGUCACCCAGGCUGGAGUGCAAUGGCGAGAUCUCGGCUCACAGCUCACUGCAGCCUCUGCCUCCUGGGUUCAAGCAAUUCUCCUGCCUCAGCCUUCCGAGUAGCUGGAACUACAGGUGCCCAUGAUGACGCCAGGCUAAUUUUUGUAAUUUUUUGACUCCUCAUUCUUGAACAUGGUUAUAGUAUGCUAAGUUGGCAAGCACAUUGAAAACUUCUCAUCUUUGGUUCCUGACUUUUGUUGUCCCUGCUGAGAAGUUAGCUGGGUUUUUGUUUUUUUUGAAAAUAAGCUGUUUUUCAUUCUCUGUGGCUGCUUUUAAGAUUUUCUUAUUGCUUUUAGUGUUACUUUUUACUGUGAGGUGUCUGGACCUAGAUUUCUUUUUAUUUAUCUUAUGUCAAAUUUAUAGGACUUUUUUUUUUUUGAGACAGAGUCUUGCUCUGUCUCCCAGGCUGGAGUGCAGUGGCCCGAUCUUGGCUCACUACAACCUCUGCCUCCCGGGUUCAAGCGAUUCCCCUGCCUCAGCCUCCCGAGUAGCUGGGACUACAGGUGUCUGCCACCACUCCUGGCUAAUUUUUGUAUUUUUAGUAGAGACGGGGUUUCACCAUAUUGGCCAGGAUGGUCUCAAACUCCUGAUCUUGGGAUCCGCCUGCCUCAGCCUCCCGAAGUGCUGGGAUUACAGGUGUGAGCCACUGCGCCCGGCCAAUAUAGGACUUUUGAGUUUUGGGAUUGAUGUUUUUCAUCAAUUUUAGAAGAUUCCAUUACUAUUUUACUUUCUUUAUUUUUAUUUAUUUAUUUAUUUAUUGAGACAGAGUCUCACUCUGUUGCCCAGGCUGGGGUGCAGUGGCACAAUCUCAGCUCACUGCAAACUCCACCUCCCAGGUUCAAGCAAUUCUCCUGCCUCAGCCUCCCGAGUAGCUGGGACUACAGGCACGUGCCACCACACCCAGCUAAUUUUUGUAUUUUUGGUAGACAUGGAGUUUCACCAUGUUGGCCAGGCUGGUCUCAAACUCCUGACCUCAAGUGAUCCACCUGCUUUGGCCUCCCAAAGUGCUGGGAUUACAGGCGGGAGUGGUUUUACUUUCUUUAGAUUUAAUUUUGCCCCAUUAUUAUUCUCUUUUCUUUCAGGGAUGCCAGUUCAAUGUAUGUAAGACCUUCUCACUUUAUUCUUUAUGCCAGUAAUUCUCUCCUUUUGUGUUUUUCAUCCCUUUCACAUUCUAUGCUUCAUUCUGGAUAGCAAUUUUUAGGCUGGCCUAUCUUGCAAUAGGUUUUCAUUUCAUCCAUUUCUAAUUAGCUGUUAAUCCCAACUGUGGGACU